rnacentral:rRNA from 1 species
UAGCGUAUAUUAAAGUUGUUGCGGUAAAAAAGCUCGUAGUUGGAUUUCUGUUGAGGACGACCGGUCCGUACCACGUACGCGCAUCUGGCUCGGCCUCGGCAUCCUCUCGAUGAAUCGUUCCUGCGCUUUAUUGCGUGGGACGGAUCUCGGGACUUUUACUUUGAGGAAAUUAGAGUGUUCACGGCAGGCUGUCGCCCGAAUACAUUAGCAUGGAAUAAUAAUAUAGGAUCUCGAUCCUAUUUUGUUGGUUUCUAGGGUUGAGAUAAUGAUUAAUAGGGACAAUUGGGGGCAUUCGUAUCAACACGUC